CAUUAUCAGAGUCCUUGAGAGGCCCCUGUCAUCACUGUCAGUAUCAUCAGCAUCAUGGAACUGAUUACUCUGGAAGAGUCUAGGAAAAUAGAGAUGGAUGGGGUUAUGUGUAGACCCUCCAGAAGGCAGGCACCCUGCUGGUACCUUGAAUCAUCCCAGUGAGAACUGUGUUGGACCCCUGACCUGCACAGCUGUAAGAUCCCUCCCUACUCCCUCCU